CCUACGGGAGGCAGCAGUGAGGAAUAUUGGUCAAUGGGCGCUAGCCUGAACCAGCCAAGUCGCGUGAAGGAUGACUGCCCUACGGGUUGUAAACUUCUUUUGUAUGGGAGUAAAGUGCGGUAUGUAUACUGCUUUGCGUGUACCUGAUGAAUAAGCAUCGGCUAACUCCGUGCCAGCAGCCGCGGUAAUACGGAGGUGCCGAGCGUUAUCCGGAUUUAUUGGGUUUAAAGGGCGCGUAGGCGGGUUGGUAAGUCAGUUGUGAAAGUCUGCGGCUCAACCGGAAAACUGCAUUUGAUACUGGGAUCCUUGAGUACAGGAGAGGCAGGCGGAAUUCGUGGUGUAGCGGUGAAAUGCGUAGAUAUCACGAAGAACUCCGAUGGCGAAGGCAGUCUGCUGGACUGUAACUGACGCUGAUGCGCGAAAGUGUGGGGAUCAAACAGGAUUAGAUACCCUUGUAGUC
rnacentral:rRNA from 1 species